UUUGGAAUCCAUUGCCACAGAUGAUUUUGAGAGCAGAUCCUUUCCUGAGUAACUGCAGCAUAAGUAUGUUCACAUGAAGUAACAUUUUGAUAACACAAACGGAAGCUCAUCAAAAU